CGUAAAGCCUGCGCGCCCACGUGCGACAACUUUCCACUGGGGACCUUGGUGUUUUUACUGUGGCCAGCUUGACGUUUCUGCUAUGGGCAAACGCCGGAGCCGCGGCCGGAGUCAACUGCUCAGCACAAUGACCAAGAAGCAGAAGAAGCACCUCCGCGACUUCGGCGAGGAGCACCCCUUCUACGACAGGGUUUCCCAAAAGGAAGCAAAGCCACAGAUUUGUCAGCUGUCAGAGAGUUCAGAUACUUCACAUUCUGAAAGUGAAUCUGAGGAAGAGCAAGAGCACAUUUCAGGGUACCACAAACUGCUUGCUACAUUAAAGAAUGUUUCUGAAGAGGAAGAGGAGGAGGAGGAAGAAGAGGAUGACAGUGCUGUAGCUGAUGAAGAAAUGACCAAUGAAGAUGGUGAUGAAGAUGUCCGUGUAGAAGAAGAAAUAGCGGAGUUGGCGGAGACUCAUGAGCGUGUGUCUCCAGCUGAUGACCCAAAAGAAAAAGAUGGGGAGGAACCACCUGAUGGAUCACAGAACUCCUCAAAGGAGUUCACAGAUGCGAAACACGAGUCACUGUUCAGCCUGGAAACCAAUUUUCUGGAAGAGGAUGGUGGAGGCAGUUCUUCCCAGAGAGCACCCCAAGAUCCAUUUCAACAACAUGUCAACAGAGAAUUGAAAGAAAAGGAAAUUCAAGCUGCUGCUUCAAGCUCUCCAACUACCCAGCAGCUGAAAUGGCCCAUCCUGGGACAGCUUGUCUUUUCAUCAAAGUUCCAGAAGAUGGAAACAUUUAAACCUCCAAAGGAUAUUGACCUAAAGUCACUUCAUCUUCAGAAGCCUCUAGAGUCCACCUGGAAAAAAACCAAUAGCCAGUUCCUAUCUGGUCCUCAGAAAUCAAAUAGCCUCUUUACCCCACUCCAGAAAGAGCUGUUCUUAAUUAUGAAUUCUUACCGAGACCUGUUCUACCCAGAGAGGACUGCCCUGAAGAAUGGAGAAGAGGUCCGCCAUGUGUACUGCCUGCAUGCCAUAAACCACGUCCUCAAAGCAAAUGCCCAAGUGUUAGCUAACAACAGCAGGCGCCGGAGCCAGAAGCUUGGGGUGGGUGAAGAUGAUGACUUCAGGGACCAAGGGCUAACCAGGCCUAAGGUGCUUAUAGUGGUCCCCUUUCGGGAAGCUGCUCUUCGGGUGGUCCAGCUCUUCAUCAGCCUCCUUGAGGGGGACAGCAAGAAGAAAAUCAUUGUAAGCAACAAAAAGAGGUUUCAGGGAGAGUAUGGAUCCGAUCCUGAGGAGAGACCUCCCAACCUGAAGAGGCCUGAGGAUUAUGAAGCAGUGUUCGUGGGCAAUAUUGAUGACCACUUCAGGAUUGGAGUGGCAAUACUUCAGAGGAGCAUCCGUCUCUAUGCCCCCUUUUACUCCUCUGACAUCCUCAUCGCCUCACCCCUGGGCUUGAGGACCAUCAUUGGUGGCGAAGGAGAGAAGAAGAGAGACUUUGACUUUCUGUCUUCUGUUGAGCUUCUCAUCAUUGACCAAGUUGACAUUUACCUGAUGCAGAACUGGGAACAUGUCUUGCAUUUGAUGAACCACAUGAACCUGCUGCCUUUGGACUCACAUGGGGUGGACUUUUCUCGAGUUCGCAUGUGGAGCCUCAAUAACUGGGCCAAGUACUACCGCCAGACUCUGAUCUUUGGUGCCCUGCAGGACGCCCAGAUAAACUCUGUGUUCAACAAGCACUGUGUCAAUGCGCAAGGCCAGGUGGCUGUGAGGAAUGUCCCAGUGACGGGCUCCAUCAGUCAUGUGCUGGUGCAGCUCCCACAUGUCUUCCAGAGAAUGGACGCCCAAGAUCUACCUUUAGUGAUUGAUGACAGGUUUCACUUUUUCAUAAACAAGAUUUUGCCUCAGUACCGGGAUGCCGUCAUGUCCCAUACACUCAUCUAUGUCCCCUCCUACUUUGACUUUGUGCGUCUCCGAAAUUACUUCAAGAAGGAAGAGCUGAACUUCACACACAUCUGCGAGUAUACACAGAAGUCUGGGGUCUCCAGGGCUCGACACUUCUUCCUCCAAGGAGAGAAGCAGUUUCUGCUCCUCACAGAACGCUUCCAUUUCUACAAAAGGUACACAAUAAAAGGCAUCAGGAACCUGAUAUUCUACGAAUUGCCAACAUAUCCUCACUUCUACAGUGAAGUCUGUAAUAUGCUGAGAGCCACCAGUAGAGGAGAGGAGGCCACGUGGACCUGCACUGUGCUCUAUUCCAAGUACGACGCCCAAAGGUUGGCCUCUGUGGUUGGCGUCGAGCGGGCGGCACAGAUGCUCAGGUCUCCAAAGAAUGUCCACCUCUUUGUCACUGGAGAGAAAUGAGUGUGCAGCAGGACAGUCUGCAUCAGUGAGCCACGUAGACCUGAUUCUCAUCACUACCCCAGGAGCAAGCUCCAGACACACUGCAGUUCUGUGUCCCUGGGAAGUGCAUUAUAACUAGUGUUGGUGAGCACAACUGCCAGAUCCAAGAGCAAUCUGCAAGGACUGUCACAUUCAGAAACGAAGCUUGUGCUUGUCAGACGUGUAAGCUGAACUACCCUGGUCUCAGAUAUGACCAGUAGAAUCACCUUCAAGCUGGAUCCUGUGUCCUUCUCACUUGUUCGCUUCUACUUAGGGAUCAGGGAUUGUAUUUCCUGACACAACGUUCAAGUUUUUCUAUUUCAAGCCCCAUCUGUGGUGAGGACAGUAAUGUGUGUUCAGGUCCAGGUUGCUCAAGAAGACCUUGACAUCUUAAUAUUCCUUCCUCCACCUCCCAUGUGCCACUAACACAUCUGGCUAUUUGUUGUCAUCAAGGCUGUUGGUUGAGUUUUGUUUGUCUUGUGUUUUUAAUUGAUUGAUCCAUUGAUUGAUUUAUAGUACUUGAGAAUCAAACCCAGGCCCUUGCAUGAAAGUCCCCAACCCUUGUUUUUU